CCCCCAUCUCUCUGAUCCUGAGCCGUGACGUUUAGCCCCCUUCUCUGGCUCGGUACCAGCGGUGUACUGGCUGAAGAGACGUCCAGCCCCCGAAGAAAAAAAAAGAAAAAAAAAGACUGCGUCACCAUCUCCGUCCCUCCCAACUACGCAGAAACAAAUGUAUUGACAAUGGUUUUGCCAAAUCCCAGUGGCCCUGGAGUGGGGAGGUGACGGGGACGGGGGGGGGCGAGAGGGUGUUGGUGCCACUAAACACAGACACCGAGCUGAUCCGUUGUCAGCUUACAGCUGGAUCCCAAUCGGUCUCUGAGCAUGGAGAAGCAGGCAUGUAUGGAGGCACUCUUUUCCUUUAACAGCAGUCAACAGUGUGAGCAGACACACACACACGCAGUGACGUAAAUGCGGUUACCCUUUUGGCCGAAGUCAAAGCACCAACUUAUCCUGUUGUUAUAUCCUGUUAAAGGCUACCGUAAUGUCCGCCCGGCUGCAUCUGCGCACACCCCCGUCAAAUGGUGUAUUAGACGUCGAAUACGGUUUCAUAAUGAUAGGUCAGACGGCACGAUGCACGAUUGUAUUCACCAAUGGAAUCAUUCGUAUUCCUUAAGGUGAUGUAAAGAAGAAAUGUUUGAAUGCCUCUAAUCAGUCUCAGCAAAACAUUCCACACCGAGCUGCGUUGUGAUAUUGAGAACCCUCCAGAAUAUUCUUAUGUUAACCCCUUUGUCGCACCUCUGCCCACCCAGACCACACACACACACACGCACGCGCACACAUCUUACCAAGACCUAGAGAAACUGUGUCACAUCUUCAGCAUCCAUGUUGAAACUCCCGAUACCACCUCAAAGAACCUAGAAAAAACAACAGACAAACACACACACCGCGCACACACACAUGCACACACCCAGACGGGCAGAUGAAAACAAAACUAGGAAGGAGGAAGAGGAGGAGGAAGUCGAGGUUGUCCGAAACCACUGUGGCGAUUUCGGUUGAAAAAAGAAAACUCGAUGACUGUGGGCUCCUCGGUUAUCUCAGCUUCCGUUUCUCCUGACAUGAAAAAGUGACGUAGCAACUAAUCCAAAAUCUCUCUCUGCCUCUCUCUUUACCGCUCUCUGUCUCUCUCCCCGUCUCGCUCUCUCUCUCCCUCCCUCCCUCUCUGCUGUCCUCUCAAACACACGCACUCUCCAUUUUUCAUCUUGUUGCAACAGAACUGCCUUUAGUCUGCUACUAGAAGCUAACACACACACACACACAAAGCAGAACCCGCACAAAUGCAUGUGUAUGUGCGCAUGUCUGCAUGUACACGCACACACACACACGCAGGCUAUUCCUCGUCCACCGACUGUGACGCAGCACUUAAUUCUCUGUGCUUUCGCACCACGGUUGUGGCUCUCACGACGACAACUUCUUCACCAAGAUGGAACACACAGGAGCUAGCUAGCCCGCACGCACGGCAAGUGAGCAUGAGCAGACUGCAGGUAAAAAGGGACCCUACCACCGUGGCUUCCUGUCCCCAACUGUGUGACGCUGCUGUGUCCCCAUUUGCCCCCCACCCCCUGUCCCCUUGUAUUUGGGUCCCUCCCCCCCCUCACUCUCUGGCGCACUCCUCUCGGCUAGAGACGCACUGGCUCGUCUGCCCGUGAGGCUGAGCUGACGGAGCCUCCUCGAUCACCUGACAGCCAACUGCUUUUAAAGGCACAUCGCCCCGGUGGAUCGGUUGCAUAAGCACCACCGGGCGGCGUUCUAAUGAGGGAUGCCACUUGUCUCGCCGUCCGCAACAAGGGCGAUAAGCACGAGGUGCUCCGUUUAGGUCCUAACGUGACGCUUUCCUAAUGCCCACAUGUAGGUUGGCAGUUUUACCACGAAGAGGCCUACCGCAAAUGUACUUCCUCUUUCCGUUCGUGGUGCUUCGCGCUGUAGCUCUGCUCAAAAGAAUGCCGCUUGAUCCCGUUUCUGUUCCAAAUAAUACAUCCAGUUAACCCAAUAAUGAAUCUUGUGGAAUGACAAGAAGAUUAAAAGAAGACAUUUGUUCUACCUAGUGUGUUGUAUUGAAGGUUCACCAGGAAUGUAGCGGUUCCUUUAAAAAAAGAAGACUGUCUUAUAAAUAGUCUGGUUUGGUUCAGUCAAACAUUGGCAGAGUGUAUUUUAAGACCUGGAGUCUUUGCUUCUUAUCUGAUUGUCCACAUACCCUGAUUGGAUGAUGCAUCAUGUGUCAUGUAAAUCCGGCUGAAGGGGCUGUGGGGAGAUGGGAGGAAAACACCUUUUCUGUUCCUGAGUUAGCAAAAAGCACCUGAAACGUGUUAUGUUCUACUUCCCCACUGGAGCCCACGGCUUCAUUUCACAGGACUGAGGAGAAAGGAGAGCAUCGGCAAAAGAAUCAGCUUUCACCCUUGAGCUAUAUGGGAAAUUAAGCCCUCAGAAGACUGCGGAUGGGUCGGCACGUGUUCCAGCACUGCAUGACAAAAAAGAAGAGCUUCAUCCCCGUCAGGUCCUGAGGAUAUCACAGGCGUUAUUUCAUGACAAACAUAUUACAGUGAUUCAAAUGUUUCCUUUAGGCUUCAGAUUAGUAGUUUCUGGCAUCACAGUGCUGUAUGGAGUCAGAUAAAUUAAAUGUGUUCAGAUUUAAAUGUGACAUUUUCAUGUUCCCUCUGUCGGGUUGCAUUAAUAAAGACUUUCCAAUAACUUCAUGCACGGUAAAAGAUCCAAGCCUUAAGAAAUACUCCCCCCCUGUGAUGGGUAGCGGUGUUGCAUGUUGGAGGGUUUGUUUACAUCAGGAAUAAAAAGUGCGUAUGACAUAGAAACCUCUGGAUGGAUGGAGCCGAGUCCAGGUAUCGGCCCAUGAAGCACACGCACUUAAGCUUUACAAACUGUACAAAACAGGGGGAAGAAAAAUCAACCAGAGCGGAUUUUCUUUAAACUAAGCUAUUUGAAGGCAAUCUAUUUCUGACAAUGCACGAUGGGAAAAACAAUCUCAGAUGAUUUUAACUUUAGGUCCAUAGCCAACAAAAUACUGUUGAAUUAAGUCCUUACUUAUUUUACAUUUCUUCACUAAUGUUACGGUUUGAAUACAGUAUGCUUGGCUGGGAAGGGUAUUAACCAGAUACAGCAUGACGCACUCUGAAAGAUGCAAUAGUGACACAAUCAUUUAAAUUUCUUGAAAAGGUAACAACAACAAAAAAUGUUUCCUUACAAAUGCUUCCUUUUUUUAAAAACUGAAUACUAGUUAAAACGAAUUUCCCUCCCUCUACAACGUAUUCUACGAACUUAUACUGCAACUUACAAUGUUAACCUUCAAAGGGAUAUAACAAGUUUAAUAAACUGCAUUCAAAUAUACAAUCAAAUCAAAUAAUAGACAAGACAACAGCUACAACAUAAGCGAAAUGAUUGCGCAGUUCUGCGUGGAUGUAGAGACCACUCACUCCUGAGGUAAAUUGAAGUGCGCAACAUCCUCCUGCAGGAACACCUCUCCAUCCCACCCUCCUCCGCUGCCCCGGCGCUGGGAAAUCAGGCAUAAAUCAGCUCAGUCAUGUUUUAUAAGGAAACAGCUGUGAUCAAAUAUCCUGCUUAUUUCCGGAUGACGUCGGAAACAACGCUGGGAAUUGCGCACUAGCCUAGAUCGCGACAAUAAAGUAAAAAAAAAAAAAAAACAAUUAUCGAUGUCCUUAAAUAAAAUAAAAAAAGAACAAAACAACCUUGUAAUAGUUUUAAACAAAAUAAUAAUUAAAUCAGCCGAGUCCCUAAAAACAACCGACCGACCACCCUUGUAACCUGUAUCCAUAUAAAUGACGUUAGACUGUAUUUCAAGUACACUUGGAAGUAAAACAGUGUCUCUCGGCAGGGUCGACGGCCUACCGCGUCUUUCGCAACACGUCCGGUCUCUUUGCCACCUCGUCACCGCUGCCAUUACCUCCCACCGAGCCACCAGUUAUUAUGAAAUCCACCGUGCUGCCUCGCUUUAAUGGAAAAAACAAAAACCCUGUCCAUCGACAUUUUCACAGCAACACAGACAGGCCACGCC
ensembl:lncRNA